AUGGGGGGACCAUCCUCCAAGGCUAAAUACUCCUGACUGACCGAUAGUGAACCAGUACCGUGAGGGAAAGGCGAAAAGAACCCCGGCGAGGGGAGUGAAAAAGAACCUGAAACCGUGUACGUACAAGCAGUGGGAGCCUCUUAAUGGGGUGACUGCGUACCUUUUGUAUAAUGGGUCAGCGACUUAUAUUCUGUAGCAAGGUUAACCGAAUAGGGGAGCCGAAGGGAAACCGAGUCUUAACUGGGCGUUAAGUUGCAGGGUAUAGACCCGAAACCCGGUGAUCUAGCCAUGGGCAGGUUGAAGGUUGGGUAACACUAACUGGAGGACCGAACCGACUAAUGUUGAAAAAUUAGCGGAUGACUUGUGGCUGGGGGUGAAAGGCCAAUCAAACCGGGAGAUAGCUGGUUCUCCCCGAAAGCUAUUUAGGUAGCGCCUCGUGAAUUCAUCUCCGGGGGUAGAGCACUGUUUCGGCAAGGGGGUCAUCCCGACUUACCAACCCGAUGCAAACUGCGAAUACCGGAGAAUGUUAUCACGGGAGACACACGGCGGGUGCUAACGUCCGUCGUGAAGAGGGAAACAACCCAGACCGCCAGCUAAGGUCCCAAAGUCAUGGUUAAGUGGGAAACGAUGUGGGAAGGCCCAGACAGCCAGGAUGUUGGCUUAGAAGCAGCCAUCAUUUAAAGAAAGCGUAAUAGCUCACUGGUCGAGUCGGCCUGCGCGGAAGAUGUAACGGGGCUAAACCAUGCACCGAAGCUGCGGCAGCGACACUAUGUGUUGUUGGGUAGGGGAGCGUUCUGUAAGCCUGUGAAGGUGGCCUGUGAGGGUUGCUGGAGGUAUCAGAAGUGCGAAUGCUGACAUAAGUAACGAUAAAGCGGGUGAAAAGCCCGCUCGCCGGAAGACCAAGGGUUCCUGUCCAACGUUAAUCGGGGCAGGGUGAGUCGACCCCUAAGGCGAGGCCGAAAGGCGUAGUCGAUGGGAAACAGGUUAAUAUUCCUGUACUUGGUGUUACUGCGAAGGGGGGACGGAGAAGGCUAUGUUGGCCGGGCGACGGUUGUCCCGGUUUAAGCGUGUAGGCUGGUUUUCCAGGCAAAUCCGGAAAACCAAGGCUGAGGCGUGAUGACGAGGCACUACGGUGCUGAAGUGACAAAUGCCCUGCUUCCAGGAAAAGCCUCUAAGCAUCAGGUAACAUCAAAUCGUACCCCAAACCGACACAGGUGGUCAGGUAGAGAAUACCAAGGCGCUUGAGAGAACUCGGGUGAAGGAACUAGGCAAAAUGGUGCCGUAACUUCGGGAGAAGGCACGCUGAUAUGUAGGUGAAGCGACUUGCUCGUGGAGCUGAAAUCAGUCGAAGAUACCAGCUGGCUGCAACUGUUUAUUAAAAACACAGCACUGUGCAAACACGAAAGUGGACGUAUACGGUGUGACGCCUGCCCGGUGCCGGAAGGUUAAUUGAUGGGGUUAGCGGUAACGCGAAGCUCUUGAUCGAAGCCCCGGUAAACGGCGGCCGUAACUAUAACGGUCCUAAGGUAGCGAAAUUCCUUGUCGGGUAAGUUCCGACCUGCACGAAUGGCGUAAUGAUGGCCAGGCUGUCUCCACCCGAGACUCAGUGAAAUUGAACUCGCUGUGAAGAUGCAGUGUACCCGCGGCAAGACGGAAAGACCCCGUGAACCUUUACUAUAGCUUGACACUGAACAUUGAGCCUUGAUGUGUAGGAUAGGUGGGAGGCUUUGAAGUGUGGACGCCAGUCUGCAUGGAGCCGACCUUGAAAUACCACCCUUUAAUGUUUGAUGUUCUAACGUUGGCCCCUAAUCGGGGUUGCGGACAGUGUCUGGUGGGUAGUUUGACUGGGGCGGUCUCCUCCUAAAGAGUAACGGAGGAGCACGAAGGUUGGCUAAUCCUGGUCGGACAUCAGGAGGUUAGUGCAAUGGCAUAAGCCAGCUUGACUGCGAGCGUGACGGCGCGAGCAGGUGCGAAAGCAGGUCAUAGUGAUCCGGUGGUUCUGAAUGGAAGGGCCAUCGCUCAACGGAUAAAAGGUACUCCGGGGAUAACAGGCUGAUACCGCCCAAGAGUUCAUAUCGACGGCGGUGUUUGGCACCUCGAUGUCGGCUCAUCACAUCCUGGGGCUGAAGUAGGUCCCAAGGGUAUGGCUGUUCGCCAUUUAAAGUGGUACGCGAGCUGGGUUUAGAACGUCGUGAGACAGUUCGGUCCCUAUCUGCCGUGGGCGCUGGAGAACUGAGGGGGGCUGCUCCUAGUACGAGAGGACCGGAGUGGACGCAUCACUGGUGUUCGGGUUGUCAUGCCAAUGGCACUGCCCGGUAGCUAAAUGCGGAAGAGAUAAGUGCUGAAAGCAUCUAAGCACGAAACUUGCCCCGAGAUGAGUUCUCCCUGAGACUUAGAGUCUCCUGAAGGAACGUUGAAGACGACGACGUUGAUAGGCCGGGUGUGUAAGCGCAGCGAUGCGUUGAGCUAACCGGUACUAAUGAACCGUGAGGCUUAACCUUACAACGCCGAAG
rnacentral:rRNA from 1 species